rnacentral:rRNA from 1 species
AUUGAACGCUGGCGGCAGGCCUAACACAUGCAAGUCGAGCGAGCGGCGGACGGGUGAGUAAUGUAUGGGGCCUGCCCGAUAGAGGGGGAUAACUACUGGAAACGGUGGCUAAUACCGCAUACUAUCGGAUAACCCAGCUGCGGUUGGCUAGUAGGUGGGGGAAAGGCUCACCUAGGCCACGGAAUCUAGCUGGUCUGAGAGGAUGAGCAGCAACAUGGGGACUGGAAAACGGCCCAGACUCCUACGGAGGCAGAAGUGGGGAAUAUUGCACAAUGGGCGCAAGCCUGAUGCAGACAUGCCGGGUGUAGGAAGAAGGCCUUAGGGUUGUAAAGUACUUUCAGCGGGGAGGCGUUACCCGCAGAAGAAGCACCGGCUAACUCCGUGCCAGCAGCCGCGGUAAUUC